rnacentral:tRNA from 1 species
GCCGGGGUACCCAAGCUAGGUAAGUCAUGCUAGGCCCUAAAAGGGGUCAGCCUCGAGAGCUGAUGUCCUUCGGGACUCGUGGGUUCAAGUCCCACUCCCGGCG